rnacentral:rRNA from 1 species
GAGGAAGUAAAAGUCGUAACAAGGUCUCCGUAGGUGAACCUGCGGAGGGAUCAUUACACAAAUAUGAAGGCGGGCUGGAACCUCUCGGGGUUACAGCCUUGCUGAAUUAUUCACCCUUGUCUUUUGCGUACUUCUUGUUUCCUUGGUGGGUUCGCCCACCACUAGGACAAACAUAAACCUUUUGUAAUUGCAAUCAGCGUCAGUAACAAAUUAAUAAUUACAACUUUCAACAACGGAUCUCUUGGUUCUGGCAUCGAUGAAGAACGCAGCGAAAUGCGAUAAGUAGUGUGAAUUGCAGAAUUCAGUGAAUCAUCGAAUCUUUGAACGCACAUUGCGCCCUUUGGUAUUCCAAAGGGCAUGCCUGUUCGAGCGUCAUUUGUACCCUCAAGCUUUGCUUGGUGUUGGGCGUCUUGUCUCUAGCUUUGCUGGAGACUCGCCUUAAAGUAAUUGGCAGCCGGCCUACUGGUUUCGGAGCGCAGCACAAGUCGCACUCUCUAUCAGCAAAGGUCUAGCAUCCAUUAAGCCUUUUUUUCAACUUUUGACCUCGGAUCAGGUAGGGAUACCCGCUGAACUUAAGCAUAUC